rnacentral:lncRNA from 1 species
AAUCCCAAAAGGUUUUCAAUUUGUACUCAACGUGACUUAGAUUAUUCAUCAUGAAAAAAUGGCGCAAAGUAGGGUCCUCAUAAAUUUGUGACUUAGCUUCCAAUUUUGUCUCAAACUGAACCAUUAUCAUCUCCAUCUGCGAAAAGAAUAAAUAUUUUCCCAUUCCAUCAACAACAACCAAGGGGUAUUCUAGUAAAAUUCUUUCCAGAUUUACCCUUGACCAGAAAGCCAUAAGGAUGUAGCCAGAGGCCUCACUUGUCAUUGGAUGAACCCCACCAUCCGCCCAACAAUCUAAGUCUGCGUCUGGCGUAACAAAUAUCAAUUUACCAAAUUCCAUGAAAAUGUCUCUACUUACUUCAGCCAAUCUAUUCUUUAUUUUAAUUGCUUCAUUCACCAAAGAAGCAUGAAACAAUGAUUCAAAAUCGGGAAACAAAUCACACAGUGUCUCAAACAAGUCAAGGAUUUUAAACAAACGCCACGCUGAAGGACUUCGAUUUGCAAAUGAAUCAGCAAAAUUCAGCAGCUGUAUUGUCGCUCCACAACAAAUCCUUGAGAAAUAGAGACUAGAUGAUGCAUAGGUGGACUCAGAGAAAACACUAUUGUAUAGUUGACGCUCACUGGGAAAUAAUAUUCUAAGAGCAACCUUUGAACUUUUAAUCCAUCUUCCAAUCACGUAUUCCUGUAAUCCCAUCUUUCCCAAUGCUAAUAAUUUAUUUAUUAACAAAUCUUCCAACCAUUCCUUACGAUAACUGCUAUAAAUCUCAUAGCACUCUUUCUCAAAUCCAACAUUCACCAUUGAUUUCACUGUUUCCUUAAGGUGGUUGAUUGUUUCAUUUGACAGGGCAUCAAUAAUGAAGUUGUGAUCAGUCACCACCAACUUAUAGUUACCUUCAACCUCCUGCAAAAGCAUCUUACCAAUAUUUGAGUUGUUUUGCUUAAGCUCAUUCAUACAAGUUAGGAACCGUUGCAGAAUCAGUUCCUGACAUGUACGAAAGUGUUGUAUGAUGCUACCACUACUGAUAUUUUCUAGCUGUUUUGAAUCUACUUGAAUGACUACUUGUUGUUCUUCGAGUCCAUGAAACUGAUUUUCUUGUGUAACAUUCAAGUUUGAGAAAGAAGAACGAAAAAUAAUAAGACAGUAACUAUAACCAAUUCCAAUAAUAGAUAACAACAAUUUAAUCUUCAUGAGUUGAACAAUUAGACAUCCAAGAUAAAAGUACAUAAGGUCGACGUCAAAUCCGCACUGAAUUUGCCUCGAUAAACUAAGUGACAUGAGAGCAAAGGCAGCACAUGAAAUGAGGCUAUAUGCAUCUGGUUUUCCAUUAAUAAUUUUAUCAGAGAAAAAGGAAUAGACAGAGGUAAUUGUCAAUACCAGAAAUGCUGAAUGAGCUUUGAACCGAAGACUUAUGGAGUGUUGCCAUAAUCUUGCAAACAAAAUCAAUAGACAAAUGAUGAAACUGAAGAAGCUAUAAAGAAAUAUCUUCUAUAAAUUCCACUCUCCAAAUAGAUGGUUGAAGGAAGAGCUGAGAGCAUAAGAAAGCAAUCCAACAAUAGCAGAAGCUAAACCCACAAAUCUCCAUAUCUUUAACUGCAUAAUUUGAUUCUCAGAAUUGAAAUGAGUAUGGCUAUCAUGCUUUUUAUGAAAUGUGUAAUGGACUUUUUGGUCAAAAAAUGAGUAAUAUUAUUAGAUUGAUAUAUUGAUACUGGUCCACUGACCAAUUCUUUUCAAUUUUUUGGCAACAAAAGGUGUUUUUUUCUCUUGUCCACAUGUUCCAUUGUUAAACGUUGUUUUGCCGAUCAAGUAAUCACAGAUGUUUUUCUAUUUUUUGCUAUUGACUUUUUUAAACCCUUAAUCUUUUAAAUAUUUCUUUAUAUUAAUUUUAAAGAAAAAACAAUAGUUCGUAAUAAAUAUACAAAUAUCACGUUUUAAAUUGUGGGGUCAAUUAUAGUUACUUGGAUUACAGUUGCAGGAAUUACAGGACAGUAAAUCUAUUUUUAUUAGAAUCAAAUAUUAUAAUUAUAAUAUCUUAUCAAUCAGAUAUCUUCUAUUUUAUAAAGUCUCAUAUGUAUUAUAUUGUCAAUUCUCUAUCACUUUAAUAUAUUUAAUCUUUAGAAAUACCUUCUAAAUCUAUGUUAUAAAGAAAAAGGAAGACAUAGAAAAUGAUUUGUGUGAAAACUAUGUAGUCUGUCGUUGAUGUCUGGUGCGACUGUUGCAGUCAUUGUAACAUUACGAUGGAGGUUUUUAUGUUAUUUACAGUAACAACGCAGUUAAAGACUGAUAUAAUUACUGACAAUUUUGCAAUUGCAGUCACAUUAAAUGAUAUAGUAUGUAAGUUUCUUUUUUUACUCAAUAGUCAAUAUAAUCUGUAAUUUAAAACUCUAAAUUAACCAUUUUUUUACAAUCUAAUUUAACCUUAAUGUGAGAGUAUUUUUUUCUAAGGGAGAGGAAUCUUUUUCAUGCAACUAUAUAUAAAUGAAUAAAAAUAGUUAUUUAAUGGUUACAAUGUUGAAAAGUCCAUAUAAAUAAUUUAUAUGCAAUUUCGUGCAUAAAUGUUGAAAAUAUUCGUUGUAUGGACUUUUCAUGCAACUAUAUAUAAAUGAAUAAAAAUAGUUAUUUAAUGGUUACAUUGUAUGAACAUAAUUAAUCAUUUUAUUAAAACAUAAUCAAUCACAAUUUUCACUAUAUUAAAAAUAUUUGAUUUAUUUUUACAUCAAUUUUUUUUGUUCUAAAGAGUGUUAGCUAGUAACAAAACUCAUAUGCAUUAUAUGUGAAGAAAUAAAGUAUUGCAAGUUUCUAACUUGUGUUGAAUCAUAUCAAAUGUUUACAUAAUCUUUUGUCAUUAUAUAUUUUUUAUAAAUAUUAAUAAUAUUUAAUUUAUAAUUAUUAAUUUAACUAUCUAUCAAUCAUAACUAUAAGAUCAUUAGUGAUAUUUGAUUUUUCUAAAAGAAAAUCAUUUAACUAUUAAUUUAAAAAUCAAAUGUAUCGAUAGAUCAUGUCAAUAUAUAAAAAAAGCCAUGAUAGAUUAAUAAUAUAUAAAACAGAGAAUGAGUAAGAAAUCAAGAACAAAUAAUUUUAAAUAUUUUAUUUGAAUUAUGCACAAUUUUUAAUAAAAUGAUUAAAUGAAUUUUAUUUAUUAAAUUAUCCUUAUUAAUUGCAGUUAAUGAAAAAAUUUAAUGAAUUAGGAUAUAAUAAAUAAGAGAUUAUCUAAAAUACCAUCUGGGUAUAAUUAAAGGACUUUUUGGGGUACUUACAAAAGUUAAAAUGUUUUGGCAUAAAACAAAACACAAAGAUAGAAUAAAACUCGGAUCAUACCAACAAUGCUGAAACACUUGUUUUUCUUGUUUCCAAGAAAUAUAUUAUCGAGUACAUUAUGAAUGUAAAAAGUUCCAUACUCGUAAGCGUUGUUCUUAAGAAAAUCCUGAAACCUCCCUAUGAAGAUUCCAUACGCUGGCAACAAGAUGUUUUUGAGAAAUGCAAUUAUUUCUUCCCCUAGAUUCAUAUCAUGAACAGACCAAAUGCACUGAACUCUGCAUAUCACUUUGAUCUAGUUUUUUUUGAAAAAAAUAGCAUAUAAUUCGAUUAUUUAGUUUGUCCGUUCUAAAUACCUCCAACUAUUCAUCAUGAAAAAAUGACGCAAAGCAUGGUCCAUACAUUUUUCUGACUUCGAUACCGAUAGCUCUAUAGUCCCCUUCAAUUGUACCAAUAGCAGCAUUGAUCUCUCGUGGCCUGAUAGCAGAAACAAGAUAAUUCUAUAAAAGAACAUAGAAUAUAAAUAAACUAAUUAAUUCUAUUCAUUUUUUCAUAGUUAAUAUCUUUAUGAUUAAAGAUAUAAGAAAGGAAAAGACAGAGACGCGAAAGUAAUUAACGAAAACUAACACCACUCAAAAGAAAAAUAUCAUCAUCAUUCAAGUAUAUUUUUUUACUCUUUUACGGAAAAUUCAUCAUAGUAAGAAUCAUAAUAUUGUUAUUAUGAUUCUCCAUUAAGAUUUUGUAUAUAUAAAUUAAUUCGCCAUAUUUAACUAGUGAAAUUGAUUUUGUGUGGUGUGAAAUGUGUAUAUUUGUCAUAAAGUCCAUUUCUAAUCGUGGGCAUAUAUAUACGUUUUUAUUCACAGAAUCAUUCCUUAAUUAUUAUACAUAUAACUAUUAAAUUAAAGUAAUCAAAGAUUGGUUAAAAAUUUCUCUGUGAAAUUUUGAAAAGUCAAAAGCUUUUUUUCUUUUGUGUUGAAACAACUUUUUUGGAAUGUAAAAAUUCACCGCAUAAAUAUUCGUCACUUAUACAUGUAAAAUAUGGAUAAAGAUUAAUAAAUAUUUAUUAUUAAUAAACAACAAAAUAAAGAAUAUAUAUUUAUAAAUGAUGUAUAAAAAAUAUAUAACAAAUAUAAAAAAUUAUAGAAUAAAUAUUUAUCACCGAUACAUAAAAAAUAUGACAAAUAUUUGUUAUUGAAAAUUAAAAAUAUUGAAAAAACACGAGACAUAUAAAAACUCGAAAAAGUAUUUGUUGCUCAUAAAUAUAAAAAUAAAAUAUAAGAUAAAUAUUUCUCAUGUUUGUAUAAAUUAAAAUUUUUGUUUGAAAUAUGAGAUAUAAAAUAACAACGACACAUAAUCCGUACGAUUGCACGAAUUUCUUAUUAGUUUUCCAUUAAAGGUAGCGAGAUCGAUCAUCACAUGUGUCAUGGGUAUAUAUUUAGUGAUUUAUUGUGAGUAAUAUACAUUGAACAUUGAACAUUGAACAUUGAAAGUUUCAAAACUUUUAUGCAUGAUUUCAAACAUGCUACAAUUUUGAUUGCCUGCGAAAAUAGUAUCAUUUGAAUCGAACACGAUCCCUUUCUUAUAUGAAUGGAAAAGGAUUGUUUAAAAAAGGUUAAGUUUCUAAAAUUUCAUUGUUACAAAGUUUUUAAAGGAAUUGCUUUUUCUAAGUCACAUUACAUGUCGCAAGUCUGUGUUAUUUAAAUUUUUUUUUUCAAAUUAAAUUUUUAAAUUAUUAAAGUAGAAUUUGUUAAUCACUAAAAUGUUCAAAUUUAUUAAAGUUGUUAUUCAAAAUUAUACAGUUGUAUUAUAAAUUGAGAUGUUAUAGGAAUAAUACGUUUGAGUUCAUUGAAAUUCAUUAUUAUAAGACAUAAUAUAUAGAUCAUUUAAAGAUGAAUCAUUGCUUAUAAUUAAUGAAAUUAAAAUAUUUGUUGCAAUUGUAUAUCCAAAAGAUAUAGACAUGCAUUUAUUUUGUCAUUUAUUUUGAUUUGUUGUUGGCUCAUAAAGUAUGUGAAUUUAGCAUUUGGCUAUGUAUUUAUGUAUUCCCUUUGGUCUUAAAUACAAGAUAGUUUUUGGAAAAAAAAUUGAUUCUAUAUUUAAAAAACAAUUACCACUUUUAAGAUGUAUUUAUUGUUUAAAUCUACAUCUACAUAAUAAACAAUUAUCUUACACCAAAUUUUAGACCAACAAAACAAUUAAUGUAUUUCUAAUAUUUUUCAUUCACAUCUAGUAAAACCUUAAUUAUUUAAUGUAAUCAAUUUUAUAAAUGAUAAUUAAAUCAAAUUUCAAAUAAAAAAUAACAAAAUAGGAUAUUCAAGCAUGUUCUUUAGCAAAUUGAUUUGUGGAUAUUAUCUUAUAAUAAUAAUUAAAGAUAUGAAUUUUUUUAAUAAUAAUAAUUUAUCAAAUGAAUUUUACUCAUUUUCGAGACUAAUUACACUAACUGAGCACAACUUAAAUAUGGUAUAUGAAAUUAGUUAGUUAACACAAUAACAAAUUUCUAAGUCAGCCGUAAACCCUUAAAUUUUUUAUGUUCAUUAUUGUUUGCUAUUAUGAUAUACUUCCACAUAGAUUAUUCAUCUAAAGAAAAAAAAAUGUGUUGCUGUAUCUUAAGAUUUUUCAUUCACACUUCACUCACCUGUUCUUUUUCUAUAUAUAUUAAUUCAAUACUUGUUGCUCUUUGUGUUUACUCAUUCUUAAAAAUAUUUGUAUUCCACUUAUUUUUUUAAAUAUUCUUUUUUAAUUCAUGAUGUUUUUCGUUCUCUUUUUUUUUUUUCAUAUGUAUAAUUUUUCGUUUAAAAUGGAUGAAGAAAUCAUAAAAGGUUCCACUUUUUCGUAUUUACGAAGAUCUCUAUAUGUUUUUCCUAAAUUGUGUAUGUUUGUAUAUGGCUAGGGUUCCACUUAUCAUAGAUUUUCGACCGGUCACUCAAGUCAAUUAUUUGUCAUCACAAUAAGGCAAUAAUGAUGAUAUCAAACUAGUCGAUUAUAAAAUUAAAGGUCCUCGCUAAGAUGAGUGAUAAGUUUAAUCGAGUGAUUUGAAAACAGUUUAUGAUGAUAUAUAUGUUAAGAAGUCUUUCUUUCCUUCCAGUGUGUUUGGUUAAGGUGAAAUAUCAAAGAGAGAGAUGGAUGCGAGAGAAGAUGCGAAGAGAAUGGAAAUUGAACUGUGGACCAAAUUUAUGGUGUUGGAAGCUCAUAUUCAUGGCAAUUUUUGCAUGAGCUUGUUCUUGAUUAUGGAGUUAAUCUGAUUCAAUCAUUUAUUUCUUGAAAUGAAGGAGGCAACACCUGUCACCGGCCACCAUAGCCAUUAGCCUAACAUCCUAUGGCCAUGACUGAAUCAUAGAGUUUUCUCUAUUACACAAACCUCCAACUACUACUGUUGUGACAUCUUUUGAUCCCGUUUUCUUGUUUUGGAUCCUCUAUUCUAGAGCUUAGCUGAUCUAUAUUUUUUUUGUAGUAUAUAUAUAUGGAAUAAAUCUUCUUGCCUUUUCAAGUAUUGUAUUUCUAGGUUUACAUGAGACUUAGAUGGAGGGGUAAAUGUGUUGCUAGUAUGCUACAAAAGGAAAUUAUUUUAAAUUUUUUAAUGUUUCGAAAAUAUUAUUAUUUAUUGGUUAAACCACGUUAAAGUUUAAAUUCAAUAAUGUUAUCUUAUUUGUAAGUGAAUCAAGUCUUGAUUAUCCGUAACAACUCAGAUGCAAAAGUUACCCCCAUUAGGAGUACGAGUUAAGUCUUGUACUAGCAAAGUUACAAUGAUGACUAGAUUUUCUCUUUUGUUAAUGCAAAAGUUUUGUAGUCAUUGAAGAUUCUUUUAUGUUAAUAAAAUAAUUAUAAGAACUUUCUUUCUUCAUUUUCUUUGCAUGUUCAUAGAAGAUCAAUAGCAGAUUGUUCUAGUUAAAUAGCGUUAAUUAAACUAAUGCAUGCAACGGUGUCUAGCUUAACUGCUGAUGUGUUCAACAUCAUACACACUAGUCCUUCAUUCCUAGAUACUCACAAUUAAGUGCAUGUUUAGCUUGACGGUAAGUUUAGUAGAAUCAUGGUGAGUCACUACAACUUUAGAAAAGUUAUUCCUUAGAGCUUCAACAAAAUCGCAGUACCACUGUGAUUUCGUCAAUCUUACCAACAAUCUAAACAUGCACUAAGUCUUGUACUAGCCAAGACUUGAUUGGUGUAUAAUGUCCUUCAUUCCUUCAUUAAACUAGCAUUGACUUAAGUCUUGUACUAGCCAAAAUAUUGUCAUGCAGUACAAAGGACACAAUCUUUAGUGUGACAAAAGGAAAAGCAAACCUUUAUGAUCCUAUUGCACAAAAUAUACAUGUGGUAUAUAGGAAAUAUUGGUCAUAAAUUCUUCAAGAACAAGUUUUUGAUGAUAAAUAAAGCUGUUAUAGUUUGACAUGAGUUUUGGUACCAUUCUUUACUUUUCUUAAACUGAUGCUGAAGUCUUACAAAUUAGAGGAAGAUGAACAUUGGAGGUAGAUGAAAAUUUGAGGAAAAUGAAACUAUAGUUGGAGUUCUUAGAGAAAGGAAGGUAUUUCUAAUAGAAAAUUCUCAAUUUGCUUAAUGUUUAAUGUCAAAUACAAGUAGGUAUAUAUAGGUACAAAUAGAAAACUCUAGACACAUUUCUAGGAGCUUCCUAAUUAAUACUGACACGUCCCGUGCCAAAAAUUUAAAAAUAAAUAAAUAAAUAAGUAUAAUAAUAAUAAUAAUAAAUAAAAACAAAUUAACCCUACUCAUUCUCACUCCCUCAUUUUCUCCUAAUUUUCUCUCUCUCCCUCUCGGCACACACUCCCAUCCCCCUUUUUGUUGUUUUUUCUUUCUUUCUUUUCCUUCUCUUCUCCUUGCUUCUUCUCACCCUAUUACUCAAACCCUCAAUCCUUAAAAGAUAUUUAACAUCCCCACAAGCUUAAUUUCUCAAACUCCUACAAAUUCUUUUGGUUGAGAUUUUUGGAUUAGGGUUUGUGUUCUAAGGAAGGAAAAGGGUACCCAUCUCUUGAAAGUGGUUUAUUGAGACUCAUUGAAGUAAAUGCACAACUCUAAUACUAGUAUGAAUUCAUAGAAAAAUGUAGUUUUGAGUAAAAAUCUUAUUUUGUGCUUAGAGUAUAUUUAAAUGAUGUUGAUGGUUUCCUAGAGGUAGUUAAACUUUAGAAUAAAUUUCUCUAAAGCCUUGGAAAUAUUUUUGAUACUCAGAUUUGUCAACUGAGACCUUGCCGACUACUCUGAGAGUUGUUGGAGAGCAAACUUAGACGAUUCUCCAUAACUGUGAGUUGACGACGAUCAUCGUCAUAUAUUUUUAUACUGCUAUUAUUAUUAUUUUACUUGUUUUCUAUAUUAAAGUAUUUAUUGAAAAAUUUGGGAAACACANNNNNNNNNNNNNNNNNNNNNNNNNNNNNNNNNNNNNNNNNNNNNNNNNNNNNNNNNNNNNNNNNNNNNNNNNNNNNCUUGAAUUGUUAUACGAUUGAAUAUGUUUUUUCACGAAUUACGAUGAAAUGAUUUUAAAUGCGCGUUUUGGAAAAUCGGUGUUAUUGUUAUUAAAUCGUUAACUGCGUUAGGUGCACCUAAUUACCACGUGUUGAUUAGGGAGAGUUAACCGUUAGAUGGAGCCGUCCCUACGAGAGAGGUUAUCCGUAGGAGGAGAGGGCUAUCAACGAGAUGUAAGCUCCCUAAUUGAUACGUGAUGAUGCGUUGCAGGAUUGAGAGGAGAGGGCCAUCCGUUAGAUGGAGCCGCCCCUAAGGGAAAGGCCACCCUUAGGAGGAAAGUGCUAUCAAUGAGAUAAAGCCGCCUCUUAGUUCUAAAAAUUUGUAUUAUUACUUGUUUGAUUUUUAUGAUAAUUUUAAGGUUGUUCAUUUUGAUUUCGUUUUGUUAUUCACUGAAUUUUUAAUAUUUCUGUCAAGCGAUUAAACAGUUAUUCGUGCCUUUUGUGUUUCCCUUCUCAUUGAUGGUGGUUGUUGUCUCCUCACUAAGUCUUUGUGACUUACCCCUUUACGUUGCUAUUUUUUUUUCAGAUUCGCAGACAGUUGAGUAUAAAUCUGUUAUUUGAUUCAAGUCUCCACAUAUUUCUUUUUGGUAGGCCUCUUUGAUUGAGGACCAUUUUUGUAACGUCUGUUGAGUCUAUGUAAUUUGCAGCUAUUUUGGAAUCUAGAAAUUUUUUUGGAAAUUGUAUUAAACGAUUAUAUUAUGUUCUUUGAAUUGUGACUGAAUUGAGAUUUUAAUAAGGAUUUAAUUAAUUUGGGAAUGUUGAAGUUACAGAGGAUACUCUGUCGAAAUUUCGAGGAAAAGUAUAUACCAGGCUAGGAGUAUAGCUUGCGCGCCGGUCACGACAUUUAAAUUUUGGGUCGUGACAAAUACCAACUCCUAGAUACUUCCCACAAUUUUCUAUAAUUAGAACACUUCUAGAUUCUUACAUGGAAAUUCUACGUGGUUCUAGAAUUAUCUAAUUUCAAAUUAAUAAUAACAUUGCUCCCCCUUAAUUUGAAAUUUUCUUCUUCAUUCCAAGUCUUGCUCUUAGCCUUUGAAAUUCUUCAAAUUUUAACGGCUUUGUAAAAACAUCUGCAACUUGAUCUUGAGUCUUCACAUAUUUAAGCUCAACUUCUUUCUUGGUAAUGUAUUCUCUAAUGAAAUGGUACCUUGGUCUAUGUGCUUGUUGCGAUCAUGAAACACUAGAUUCUUUGCAAGUGCUUAUGCCGACUUGUUGUCUAUAUAAAUAUCAGUAGCUUCCUUUUGUGGCAUAUGAAGUUCGUCCAAUAAUCUCCUUAGCCAAAUGGCAUGAUAAGUGCAAGUUGCUGCUGCUACAUACUCUGAAUCACAUGUUGAAAGUGUGACAAUAGGUUGUUUAUUUGAGCUCCACGAAAAAGCACAGUCUCCCAUGAAAAAUAUAAAGCCACUAAUACUCUUUCUAUCAUCAAUAUCUCCCGCAAAGUCGCUAUCACAAAAUCCAAAAAAUUUAAAAUCAUUAGAAGAAGAGUAAAAUAGUCCAUAAUCAAGUGUACAUUUAAGGUAGCAAAGUAUCCUCUUGGUGACUUUCAUGUGUGUAGUAGUAGGAGCUUCCGUGAAACGACUCACUACUCCAACCACAUAUAGAAUGUCAGGUCUUGUACAUGUUAAGUAUUUUAGGCUUUCAACGAGGCUUUUGAAAAAAGAAGGGUCCUCCUUUUGUCCAUCUUCAAACUUUGACAACUUUAAUCCUCUCUCCAUUGGUAUGUUCACCGGAUUGCGAUCAAACAUUUUAAAUUUAUUCAAAACUUUAUUUGCAUAGUUUUCUUGAGAAAUAAAUAUACCUUCUUCCAAUUGUUUUAUGUCACGACCCGAAAUUUAAAUGUCGUGACCGGCGCACAAGCUAUACUCUUAGCUUGGCAAGCCUAUCAAGUAACUUAACAAUUAAACAAAUAAAUCGUUCUCUAACCAUUUCAAAAAAAAUAUAUAUACUUUUUCUCGAAAUUUCGACAAAGUAUCAUCUGUAACUUCAACAUUCCCAAAUUUAUAAAAUUCAUGUUUAACUUUCAAUUCAGUCAUAAUUCAAAGAACAUAAUCUACUUGCUUAAUACACUUCCAAAAAAAAAAAGACUUUUUAGACUCCAAAAUAGCUGCAAAUUACAUUAGACUCGACAUAUUUUACAAAAAAAUGGUCCUCGAUCAAAGAGGCCUACCAAAAAGAAAUAUAGUCGAGACUUGAACCUACUAACAGCUUGCUACUCAGCUAGUUGCCUGCGAAUCUGAAAAAAAUAAACAACACAAAGACUUAGUGAGGAGACAACAACCACCAUCAAUUAGAAGGGAAACACAAAAAGGCACGAAUAACUAUUUUACAAUCUUGUGGCGAUUAUGUCAUACACAUGGUAAAAUCAUUAAUCUUAUAAUUUAGUUGUCCAUAUAGAAAUAUUAAUAAUUCAAUUAAUAGCGAAACGAAAUCAAAAUGAAUAACUUUAAAAUCAUCAUAGAAAAUCAACAAGUAAAAAUACAAAUUUUUGAGAAUCAAGAGGCAGCUUCAUCUCAUUGAUAGCCCUUUCCUCAUAAGGGUGACAUUUCCCUUAGGGGUGGCUCCAUCUAACGGGUAACUCUGCCUAAUCAAAACGAGGUAACUAGGUGCACCUAACGCAGUUAACGAUCUAAUAAUUAUAACAACGAUUUCCCAAAACACGUAUUUAAAAUCAUUUCAUCGUAAUUCAUGGAAAACAUAUUCACUCGCAUAACAAUUCAAUAUUCAAAUACUUUAAUUCAUAAGUAAAUCAAACUAAUAACAUAUUAUAUAGCAAAGACUAUUAAAUUAAAUAAUUGACGAAAUUGAGAUAAAUUUCAAAGGUUGUGUUCCCCAAAUUUUUCAAUAAUUACUUUAAUAUAGAAAACAAGUAAAAUAAUAAUUAUAGCAUUAUAAAAUAUAUGACAAUGAUCGUCGUCAACUCACAGCUAUGGAGAAUCGUCUAAGUUUGCUCUCCAACAACUCUCAGAAUAGCCGGCAUGAUCUCAACUGACAAAUCUGAGUAUCAAAAAUAUUUCCAAGACUUUAGAAAAAUUAUUCUAAAGUUUAGCUAACUCUACAAAACCAUAAAAAUCAUUUAAAUCUACUCUAAGCACAAAAAUAAGAUUUUUAAACAAAACUACAUAUUUUUCUAUGAAUUCAUUUGAUUGAAAAUAUGCAUCCCAUAUUGACAUCAUUAUCAUUCAUGUUCUGAACAAAUUCAACUAUAAAAAAAUAAAAACUCUUAAACUAAAUCUACGUAGAACUCUAUUCAAUUAAACAAAGGUAGAAGUGUGUAUUAUGUAAGAAUAAAUUAUGGUGGUUUUUGUUAAACAAAGUCAUAUUCAUGUACGAUGAUUCAUAUGUCUAAUGUUCUGCCAACAUAGUUGAGAGGAUGAACACAUAAAAAAUUGUUCUCUUAAUUUGGAUUUACUUCAAUACCAAUCAUGUCGCUAGAACAACUUCCCCUACCAAUAAUUGCUUGUUCUAUAUUCAUGAUUUGGAUCACUAAAAAUAUUGAUGUGCAUAUUCCAAGGGCAGUGGGAUGAGCAUUUGUUAUGGUGUAAUUACUUCUUGCAGAUUUGUUUGUUGUAAAGAAGGUUUGAGAAAGCCAAGCAAACGAGACUAUAAAACAAUCAAUCCAAGGCUGGAGACCAGAACAAGUUGUCAAGUAAUGCUAUAUGACUCAAGAACCUGGAUGGAAAAUUGGUGGUGUGUGAUUUUGUGGAGAAACAUAACCAUAUUUUGCAUUAUCAAGAAACAACUCAUAUGUUAUCGUCUAAAGGAAAAGUUUCAGAUUUCCAAUGUCAUCAAAUUGAUCUAAGAUGAAGCUAGUCUACAACAGAGGAAGUCAUUUGAUUUGAUGAGUAAAGAAGUAGGAGGUAGAAUUAACUUGGGAUUUAUUCGUCUUAAUCAAAAGAAUUACAUCCAAAAAGUAAGGCAAAUUUGAAUUUGUUACACGAGGAAGUUGGUUAUCUAUUGCAAUACUUUCAAAAUAAGUUGGUUGAAAAUCCAACUUUCUAUGUGCCUUUCAAAUGGACAAAUAACCAAUGUAUUAUUAUUAUCAUUUUCUAUUAUCUUUAUUGUCACCUAAGUUACUUUGGUUAGUUAAUGUAUGUAAAUAUUCAUUAUGUUAAGUUUUUAUAUAAAGUUGAGUUGAUUACUUUACUAAUCAUGAUAGGUUCUUUGUCGAUGUGGUCUCUCGAGAUUUGAUGUAUUGUACUAAUAGUUCACAUAGAUCAUUAGUAAUAUUCUCAAGAUUUAACCACCAUCGAAAUGCAGUGAUGAUUCAAGAUGCAUUGUUAUAUGAUGAAACGGUUGAAUUAUACAAGUGGCUCUUUGAGACAUUUUUAGAGGCAAAAAAUGUCUCAAAUAGUUUUCACUUAUAAAGAUCAGACAAUGGCAAAAGAACUAGUUGAAGUUGUGCCUUAAACUUACCAUGGCCUGUGUACGUGGCACUUGAUGCAGAAUGACAUCAAACACUUGGAAAAUUUAAUGAAGAUGAAGAACAAUUUGAGGAAGGUUGGAGAAAUCUCCUUGUAAGGUAUGAUGUCAACAAAAACAUUUGGUUGCAAAGAGUAUACACUUUAAAAGAGAAAUGGACAUCUUGUUUUAUGAAGAAAGCUUUAUAUUAGGAACGAGAAGCACCCAACUUAGUGAACGUGUGAAUUCAGAUAUUAAAAGUUUUAUAAAUAGGAACUUGGAUAUAAUCAAAUUUUUCAAGCGUUUUGAAGAUGUGGUAGAAGAAAAACGAUAUAACAAACCGAAAUGUGAAUAUGAAGCACACCAAAAAGUUCGGAGACUCAAGAACACAUAUUCUUAUAUCUUGCAGCAAAUGUUUGAGCUUUAUAUUCUCACUAUUUUUAAUCUAUUCCAACAUAAGCAUGAGUUGUUUAAGCAUGUCCGGAGAAGAGCAUGAACAUAAAAACACCCAUAAUUGAUUAUGUUAUUAUCAUGGAUAUGGAUUUAGGGGAGUAGCAAGUGUCUUUUGAUUUGGAUAAGAAUUCAAUUUGUUGCUCUUGUCGUACCUUUGAGGGCUUUGGAUUUGAGGACUAUGGAAUUCUUUAUUGUCAUUUUGUAAGAUGACAAAUGCAAAACAACAAAAUGCAUUACAUACACACAUACCUAGUGAUCUCCUAAUGAUUGAUAAAUGACAAACUUGCCAUAAAAUUAACAGCUAACUUACAAAUUUUAUUUUUCUUUUGUAUCUUUUUUUUUUUUUUUUUGUGAUUUCUUCGUCCGAAUGCUAUGCUUUUUUUAUUUUCCUAUUUCGGUGCAACACUUUUUCCUAUUUUGGUGCGGUGUUUGUUUUGGUUAAGAUUGACAUAGUAGAUUUGGUCCAUUACAUUUUCAAUUAAUAAUUUGGCGUCGUCAACGUUACAGAUCUAGAGCAUAAGUAUUUCAGACACUUGAAUUUUGUCAUAAUUGUAGGCAUGUUGCCGUUUUAUGCUAUUAACUUGGGGGUUGUGAGUUUGUUCGCAGAUUCAUCCUUUAUGUUUUUAGCAAAUGUAUUCUACAAUUUGAAUAAAUUAAUAUAGUUAUUUUUAGUAUAAAAAAAAGGGUUAAAAAAGUUUUUAGUCUCUAUAAAAUAUUGAAAUUUCAUUUAGUCAGUGUAAAAAUAAUCACAUUUUUUAGUCCUUACAAAAUUAGUCUACAAGCUCUUUUAGUUCUUGAUGAAAUGAAACAUCCUUCAACUUUUAAAUUUUCGAAUGAUAAUUUGCAAGAAAGUUUAUUUCAUUAAUAUUAAAAGUCCAUCCACACAAAUUUAAAAUUUUUUAAAUGUCAUAUGUUCAAGAUAAAAGUCCUUAAAGUAUGGAGUAAGAAAUUAAAUUUUGAGUUCAUUUUUCGUAGAGGAACUUUUACCGUGUCGUAAAAAAUAUCUACAAAAUAAUAUUCAAGGAUAUAUAUUGAUGUCCAACAAGGAUUAAAAGUGUUUGCAUAGACUGCCUAUUUAUUUGGUCAGUAUCAAUCAAUUUAUCAGAUCGUGUGAACAUCUAUUUCCUCUCGCUUAAAAAAUACAGUACGAAACUAAAUUAAAUAGACAGCCGAAGGAGGGGUACUUUUCUGAUGCAACAACUUGUUUGAAAUUUUUUCAUCCUGUGAAUGCAAUGUGUUGACUAAAAUUUAUUUAUUAAAAUGUUAAAUUAAAAAAUUAAAAAUUAUAUUAAUAAAAGAACAUAUUAUAAUAUUUUAACAACACUGCUAUUUUUUAUAUUUUGUAAGGCGGGAUUUUAUUUUUAAAGGAUAUAGUGAAAAAACACCCGAGAAGAGGAGGACCCAAACGCGUCAAUUGCGCUACUACCAUUAGACUUAAUCAUAUCUUCUAAUAUUUAAAGGUGACAAUGACCUUAUAUUCUGUUUCCUCGAAAUUUCAUUUUAAAAAAAAACAAAAAAAGUAAUUUGAAGUCAAAAGAAGUUCACAUUAUAGUAUAUAUGUAUGCAAAAGCGGCUUUAACUCACUUAAGAGUUAAGAAAGAACACGAUGCAUAUUCUAAUCCAAAUCCGAAGCUGGCUGAUGCAGACAACUGUAUGGAAAUAUUUGGGCUUCACUUCAGCUGUUGUUGGAUUAGUUUGUUAUGCUCUCAGCUCUUCUUUCAACCAUCUUUUUGGAAAUUGGAAUUUGCUGAAGAUAUUUCUUUACAGUGUUUUCUGUUUCAUUAUCUGCUUACUAAUUUUAUCUGCAAUGAUUUGGAAGAAUCACUCGAGAAGACUCAGGUUUCGAGUUCAAUUCGCAUUUUUGGUAUUGACUCUCACCUCUGUGUAUUCCUUUUUCUCCGACAGAGUGAUGAAUGGGAAACCAGAUUCAUAUAGCCUCAUUUCAAGUGCUGCCUUUGCUAUCAUGUCAUUGAGUUUGUCGCGGCAAACUCAAUGUGGAUUUGAAGUUGAUCUUCUUUACUUUUUUCUCGGUUGUUUAAUUGUACAACUCAUGAAGAUUAAAUGGCAGUUAUUUAUUGUUGGAGCAGGUUUCAGUUAUUCUCUUAUUAUUCUUCGUUCUUCUUUUCCUUCCAUAGAUACAGAACCAGAUAAUAUCCAAGAUGAAAUUUCGGUAGUUAUUGAUGUACUUUCAUCACAACUAGCUAGUACUGAUAAAAUUACUAGUAGCAUGAUAGAACAGUUGAGGACUUGUGUUAAUGCGAUUCAGCAUGAUAAUUUGUAUGUCAUCAACAUGUUUUUGGAGCAACUAAAGGAAUAUUUUGACGAUGCAUCUGAAUUAGUGUUGUCUGAACAGAACCUGGAAGAAGUGCUCAAGAUAGAUGCGAUAUCGCAAGAAACGAUUAAUAACCUUCAGGAAACGAUAAAGUUAAUCGUGAGCGUUGGUUUUGAGAAGGAUUGUUCUAGCGUGUACAGCAGUUGCCGGAGAGAGUACUUGGAAGAAUUCUUAAUAAAAAAUUUAUUUGAUUUUGAAAAGUUUAGUAUUGAGAAUGUUAAUAAGAUUCCAUGGAAGGAAAUCAGACACCCGAUUAAGCGAUGGAUUAAAGCUUCGAAGGUUGCUAUUAAGAUACUUUUCCCAACCGAGCGCAGACUCUGCGAUCUUGUUUUCUUCGGAUUCUCAGACGCUGCCGAUCGCUCAUUUACAGACGUUUGUAAGGGAAGCACGAUUCAUUUGCUGAAUUUUGCUGAUGCGUUAGCGAAUGGAAGCCGUUCGCCAGAGCGGUUGUUUAGAGUCCUCGACGUGUUUGAAGCAUUGCGUGACCUAAUUCCGGACUUUGAGUCUCUGUUUUGUGAUGAGUAUAGUGUGUCGCUAAGGAAUGAAGCAAUUUUAGUUUUCAAGAAUUUGGGAAAAGCGAUCGUGGCUAUUUUCGUGGAGUUGGAAAAUGCGAUUCGACAAGAUCAAUCAAAGACGGCAGUUUCCGGUGGAAGGCUACUCCCUAUUGUUCGUUAUGUGAUGAACUACCUCAGACUCAUUUGUGACUAUAGAAAGACACUGGAGCAGGUGUUUGAAGACCAUGACAAUCAUGUAGAUGAUGAUAGAGUUCCCUCUUCUUCCUCUCUUUUAGUACAAAUGGAUCGGAUUAUGAAGGUAUUGGAUACUAAUUUGGAAGCCAAGGCUAAAGUCUUUAACGAUUCUGCUUUGAGCUGUGUUUUCUUGAUGAAUAGCAGCAGUUACAUACUUCAAAAGAUCAAAAAUAGUGAAUUAGGAGAUAUUUUAGCGGAUGAUACGAUCCAAAAACACCAGGCAAAAUUUCGGCACAACUAUGAGCAAUAUCAGAUGAGCUCAUGGAAUAAGGUGACGGAAUUUCUGAAGAUAGACAACAAUGAAAUAGUGCCUUCUGAUAUGGUAGAGAAAUCAAUGAAAGAGAAACUCGAAUCGUUCAACUUAUUGUUUGAGGAAAUAUGUAGGGUUCAGUCUACGUGGUUUGUCUUGGAUGAACAACUUAGGGAAGACAUAAGAAUUUCGAUUGAGAGAAACUUGUUGCCAGCGUAUGGAAACUUCAUUGGAAGGUUCCAAAGUGUUAUGGAACUUGGUAAGAAUACUGAUAAAUAUAUUAAGUAUGCAACAAAUGAUAUUGAAGCAAGACUCAAUGACCUGUUUCAGGGAAGCUGAUGAUCAACCGGUAGCCGAAAGCAAAACUAAACUUAUUUUUGUGUGUAUGUAUUUGUUACAUUGUAACACACUAUCCAACCUCUUCUUUUAAUUACUUAAAAUUGACAAGGGUGUCACAAAAUUAUUACUGAAUUCUAUAUAAAUUUUAUGAAAUUCACGUGUAUUUUAAUUAAUAAAAUAGAAUUUGUGUUAAAAAAUAUACUAUUACUAUUAUUUUUAGGUUAAAUUACAUAAGUGGUCCCUUAACUUAAUUUCAGGUAACGUUUUAGUCCUUUAUCUUUUUUUUUUUUUUUCCGAUUUAGUCAUUUUUUCCUAAAAAUAUCAAAUAAAGUAUGAAAAUAUGAGUUUAUUUGAAGAUUUGCGUUACGAAUUUGAUGAAAUUUGUAUUAUAUUGAAUAAUAUAAUUAAUUUUAUGAGUUUUGAUUGAAUUUUUUUUUUGAAUUUUUAUAUAAAAAAGGAUAUCAUUGUUGAAAUUUUAAAACAUAAAAUAUCAAAUUGUCACUUAAAAUUAAAAUAAUGGACCAAGUCGGAAAAAAAAAAAAAAGAUAAAGGACUAAAACGUUACUUGAAAUUAAGUUAAAUGACCACGAAUGUAAUUUAACCUUAUUUUUAUUACAAAAUUAUACAAAUUCUUGUUUUUUUAUCGUAUUUUAUUUUGUGUUAUAAAAUUAUUGUAUAUAAAUAAAUUUAAUGUCAUUUAUUUUUAUUGAGUCUUUAAUUUAUUUUCAAGGAACAAGUUUUCAUUACAAUUUUAAGAAUAAACUUAUUUUUUUCUUCAAGGAACAAGUUUUAAACUAUAUUUUUGUCUAGAAAUUUGUAUAUAACUAUAAAGUUCUACAUAAAAAUGUGAUAUAUUUGAUGCAGAAAUAUAUUUUAAUAAUAUUUGACUUAAUUUUAAUUAAAAUUCGACAAUUUUUUGUUUUUCAAGUUUAAAAUUUUGGAGAAUGAGAAUAUAUCAAUCUCAAAGGGAAUCAUAUUUUAACAAGCAAUGGACCACAGAACUAACAAUCAAUCUGUCAUAGUGAUAAGUAUUAAAACUUGCAUUAUCAUAUUCUAUUCAUGCACAAGCUUGGGUACCCUUCUCCUCAGCUGACUCCUAUCCUUCAGUUCUUCUAGCACCUUAUCGAGUGGGUCACUUUCAAGAAAUAGACUGCUUAGUCGAACUUCAAUGCCUUUUGUUCCAAUGUAUUUCAACAAUGUAGCCACAAAGGGGCGAACCCACGUCCAUGGAUAUUGAUAUUUGUGAUAUUAUAAACAAAUCAUGGCUAUAUAUCAUUUACAGUUUUUUAUUUUAAAUACAAAGGUUGUAUAAUUUUUUUUUUUGUGAUAUAUAUUUUCUUACUCUGUUAUAGAAUUUGUUUUUAUAUCAAAGUUAGUCUCUUAUGUUAAGUCAAUUAGUAAGUAUUAUUUCAAUUUUUGAAUGAUCUUUUUUAAAUAGAUUUAUAACAUUAUAAAUGUUUUAAAUGUUUAACAAUAAGUAAAUUUAAUAUAAAUUUUUCAAACAUCAAAUACUCAAAAAAUAACACAUAGAGUGUAUUGCAAAGUUUGGUUGUAUUAUGAUAAAAACUAGAUUUUAUUUUAGAGAUUAAAACAAACGUUUUUCAAAAUCUAAGUAGUCUAUACAACAAAUCCGACUAAUCCAAUUCAAUUAAAUGAUUUUUUCUUCGAUAUAAGAUUUUCGUAACACUCAUACGACUAAUCGACAUCAAUAUAUCUAUUGGUUUGUUCACCAAUCUAAGUUGUCUCUACCACUCAUACAAUUGAACUUAUUCAAUCUAAAAGUCGUUUCUCUAAUCUAAGUUGUUUGUAACACUCAUAUGACUAAUCUAAUACUAAAGACAUCAAAAGAUUUUGAUUCGACACCUCAUAUUCCAUGUAUCAGGUUUAAACUAAGGUUCACUUAUUGUCAAAUACUAAAGACCACAUACGAUUUCUAUUGUCAUAUAAGUGAUAGGGACAAUCGUUUAACCGAACUUAACUAAGUGGUACAGGCAACUUAAUAAUAUUUCAAUUGAAUAAAAACAAAAAAAAUUAAACUUCGAAUAAAAAUAUUAAUUUAUAUAUAUGAAUACAUAAUUAAACAAAUAUGACAUUUUUUCAAUUGAAUAAAAAAUGUAUUAAAAAAAUAUUGAUCUGAUUAACACAUAUUAGUUUAGUAAGUAAAAAAUAUCAUAUCCCACCAAUCAGAUGCCAAUGGGAUGAACAGACGAAUCCCCUUUAGGAUCGUACAUUUUCGCGAAGGACUUGAGAAUCGAACUUGAGACUCUUUAUUUAUAGAAGAAACGCGCAACAUUGGAUCAACAAUUCAAUCAUGUUAAUAAAAAAACGUUUAGAUAAACAUAUAUCACCUAUAUUUUGGAAAUAUCUCACAAAUCUCUCACCCUUUCAAAAUACAAUUAGUCACAUAAUUUUGAAAAUAUCAUGGUUUCAAAAAAUGGUAUCUUACGAUUUGAACUACUACUUAGUAAGUUGUGAGUUUCACUCAUCCCGAAUAGAUUGGUAGACAAGCUCUGAACCAGUUAUUCAUUAGAACAAGUGUACACAACUUACACAUAAAAUCUCGGUACUAUCGAAAAAAUUAUAAAGAUGACUCAUUUGAUAAUGUCUUGUGUCAUGUACCAUUUUGCUGAAAAUUUAAGAGUAAAACCCUUUAAUUCUUUGAAGCGGCCUCACUUCAUUCUCACAUAGGUAGACUAUAUCAAAAAUACACAUAUAAUAUGUGUAUUAGCAAAUUGAUGAUGAUACUUAAUCUAAGGCCUUGGCCCUCUUGGACUUGUAUGUGGUUCCGCCACAUGAAGCAAGUCAGUUUAGAAAAACAAUUUUGUUAUUUGAUGGUAUUAACAAAAUUAAAUAAAAUUACCUCACAUUCUUGACUAUCGUAAAUUUAAUUAUUUUUAUUUUUAUUCAAAACUAAAAGGAUAAUUUAAGCAUCUCUUCAUUACAUGUAGAGUUGUCAAUUUGACAAGCCCAUUAAUUAUAGGCCCUAGCCCACAUGUUGGAGGGGCCAAACAAUUUCAUAAUUAAAAAGGCCCAUUAAAAGUAAGCCCCCAACACUAAAAAACCCCUAAAAUUUUGUGGACACAGUGGGCCUACAGUCCCACUUUUUCAAAAAAAAAUUUGACAACUUUUUUUUUUCCGAUAAAAAAUGUUUUACGAUUUUUUUUCAAAUUUUUUUUAAUUUAAGAAAAAAAAUUUUAAUAUUUUUUGAUAUUUUUUCGAAAAAAAUAAAUUUCAAAAAUUUUUCAAGAAAAAAAUCUCAAAAUUAACAAUAUUGAAGGCCUAUAAGUCCCAUAAAAUAAUGGGUCGGAACUUUAAAAUAUUAUUUUGAUAGGAUGCAUGAUAUUAUGAGCUUAAUAGGAAAUAUUUUAAAGAGGACCUUAGAGUUUUGGAUUUUUUUGACAACUCUAAUCACGUAUAAAAUUGAGUUGAUAUUAUAUGGUGCUAGUAUUUUAGUAAUUUUAUUUUAGUUACUUUAAAAAUAAAUUUUCAACUUACGAUUUAAUACAAUUCCUUCUUUUGAGUGUAGUUGAGAAAAGGAAACAACGCAUAGAUUUGUGGCCAAUUGUAAUUUUAAUCGAUGAAAUUUUUUCUAUCCAAAGUCUAUAAGGUCUAUAGUCAACAAAGUAUAUCAGCUACAACUCCCUUUUCUCAUUAUUAUCAAGUUCAACUUACAUUAGUGUACUGCCUAUAGGAUACCAAGCUCCCAACACAUGCACACAUACACAUACAGUUCUAAAUAGAACUAGUUUUAUUUGAAAUACCCGAAAUUCCAUACUUGCACAACACAUUUCUCCAUACAUACAUACAUAACUUUAAUAAAACAAUCCUAGUUUGAACAUGAGGGUUCCAUGAAGUGGAAAAUGCUCAUAUUUCAACCAUGGUCUUAACAUGAAGUUAUUGAAAGAGAGAUGAUGUGCACAAGAAGUUAGCAUCUAGAUGGCACAUAAAUGGUCAUCAGAAAAGUUAGGUACCCAAGCAGCAGCCUUAUUGCCGAUGAAAUGGCAAAUAGGGACAGUUCCAGGGUCAACUUUGAGAGCUUCAUAAAGC